GGCGUGGUGGCUGAAGGUAAAGCACUUGGCUUCCGAACCAAGGGGUCCAGGGUUCGAAUCCUAGUGUCA
rnacentral:tRNA from 1 species